GAUGAAGAACGUAGCGAAAUGCGAUAAGUAGUGUGAAUUGCAGAAUUCAGUGGAUCAUCGAAUCUUUGAACGCACAUUGCGCCCCCUGGUAUUCCGGGGGGCAUGCCUGUCCGAGCGUCAUUACAACCCUCAAGCUCAGCUUGGUGUUGGGCCCCGCCGCCCCGGCGGGCCCUAAAGUCAGUGGCGGUGCCGUCCGGCUCCGAGCGUAGUAAUUCUUCUCGCUCUGGAGGUCCGGUCGUGUGCUCGCCAGCAACCCCCAAUUUUUUUCAGGUUGACCUCGGAUCAGGUAGGGAUACCCGCUGAACUUAAGCAUAUCAAUAAGCGGAGGA
rnacentral:misc_RNA from 1 species